rnacentral:rRNA from 1 species
AGAGUUUGAUCCUGGCUCAGAACGAACGCUGGCGGCGGGCCUAAUACAUGCAAGUCGAACGAGAAAGCUCUUCGGAGCGAGUAUAGUGGCGCACGGGUGAGUAACACGUAGGUGAUUUACCUUUUGGUGGGGAACAACAGGGAGAAAUUCCUGCUAAUACCGCAUAAGUUAAGCAACUUUGGAAGUAGCUUAAGAAAGGGGGGUUUACCUCUCGCCGAAAGAUGAGCCUGCGCGACAUUAGCUUGAUGGUGGGGUAAUGGCCUACCAUGGCGACGAUGUCUAGCUGGUCUGAGAGGAUGAUCAGCCACACUGGAACCGAGACACGGUCCAGACUCCUACGGGAGGCAGCAGUAGGGAAUAUUGCGCAAUGGGGGAAACCCUGACGCAGCCACGCCGCGUGAGUGAGGAAGGCCUUAGGGUUGUAAAGCUCUGUCCUAAGAGAAUAAUGGCAUUGUGGUUAAUACCCAUAGUGUUUGAAGGUAUCUUAGAAGAAAGCACCGGCUAACUUCGUGCCAGCAGCCGCGGUAAUACGAAGGGUGCAAGCGUUGUUCGGAUUUACUGGGCGUAAAGCGCGCGCAGGCGGAUUAGCAAGUCAGAUGUGAAAUCUCGGGGCUCAACCCCGAAACUGCGUCUGAAACUGUUGAUCUAGAGUUUUGGAGAGGGAUGGGGAAUUUCCUGUGUAGGGGUAAAAUCCGUAGAGAUAGGAAGGAACACCAGAGGCGAAGGCGCCAUCCUGGACAAAUACUGACGCUGAGGCGCGAAAGCGUGGGGAGCAAACAGGAUUAGAUACCCUGGUAGUCCACGCCGUAAACGAUGAGAACUAACUAUUGGAGGUAUUGACUCCUUCAGUGGUAUAGCUAACGCGUUAAGUUCUCCGCCUGGGGAGUACGGUCGCAAGACUAAAACUCAAAGGAAUUGACGGGGGCCCGCACAAGCGGUGGAUUAUGUGGUUUAAUUCGAAGCAACGCGCAAAACCUUACCUAGGCUUGAAAUCCUGAGAAUCCGUUAGAGAUAAUGGAGUGCCCUUCGGGGAAUUCAGUGACAGGCGCUGCAUGGCUGUCGUCAGCUCGUGUUGUGAAAUGUUGGGUUAAGUCUCGCAACGAGCGCAACCCCUAUCUUUAGUUGCCAGCAUUAAGUUGGGCACUCUAGAGAGACUGCCUGGGUUAACCAGGAGGAAGGUGGGGAUGACGUCAAGUCCUCAUGGCCCUUAUGUCUAGGGCUACACACGUAAUACAAUGGUCGAUACAGAGGGACGCGAACUCGCGAGGGGGAGCAAAUCUCAAAAAGUCGAUCUCAGUUCGGAUUGGAGUCUGCAACUCGACUCCAUGAAGUUGGAAUCGCUAGUAAUCGUGGAUCAGCAUGCCACGGUGAAUACGUUCCCGGGCCUUGUACACACCGCCCGU